AAGUCGUAACAAGGUUUCCGUAGGUGAACCUGCGGAAGGAUCAUUAGUGAAUAAACAAGUGCAGGUUGUGCUGGCCUUCUUGGGUAUGUGCACACCUGCCAGCUUCAUUCCAUCUUCCCACCUGUGCACUCUGUGUAGAUUCUGUAUGCUAUUGUCAAGCCUUUAUUGUGCUUGGUUGAGAGGAGUUGCUUGUUUCACCAACAAGCUCUUCUUGGGCAUGCAGGUCUAUGUUUAUAUCAACACCAUAUGAAUGUUUUAGAAUGUGCUUUAGGCUUUUUGGCCUUUAAAUUAUAUACAACUUUCAACAACGGAUCUCUUGGCUCUC
rnacentral:misc_RNA from 1 species